GUGGGGAAUAUUGGACAAUGGGCGAAAGCCUGAUCCAGCCAUGCCGCGUGUGUGAAGAAGGUCUUCGGAUUGUAAAGCACUUUAAGUUGGGAGGAAGGGCAGUAAGUUAAUACCUUGCUGUUUUGACGUUACCGACAGAAUAAGCACCGGCUAACUUCGUGCCAGCAGCCGCGGUAAUACGAAGGGUGCAAGCGUUAAUCGGAAUUACUGGGCGUAAAGCGCGCGUAGGUGGGUUUGUAAGUUGGAGGUGAAAUCCCCGGGCUCAACCUGGGAACUGCCUCCAAAACUGCAUUACUAGAGUACGGUAGAGGGUAGUGGAAUUGCCUGUGUAGCGGUGAAAUGCGUAGAUAUAGGAAGGAACACCAGUGGCGAAGGCGACUACCUGGACUGAUACUGACACUGAGGUGCGAAAGCGUGGGGAGCAAACAGGAUUAGAAACCCCAGUAGUCC
rnacentral:rRNA from 1 species